CUCCCCGUUCACAAGAUGGCGGCGGCGGCGGCGGGCGGCGCGGGGACGGCGGCGGCGCUGUGGACCGAGGUGAAUCGGAGCGGCCAGAACGGAGACUUCGGCCGCGCGCUCAAGUCUCUCAACAAGCUGUUGCAGAUCAACAAGGAUGAUGUGACUGCCCUUCACUGCAAAGUGGUCUGUCUCAUUCAGAAUGGAAGCUUCAAGGAAGCCCUAAGUGUAAUCCACACACACACCAAAGUGUUAACCAGUGACUCUAUCACCUUUGAGAAGGCGUACUGUGAAUACAGGUUGAACAGAAUUGAAAAUGCCCUGAAGACCAUUCAGAGUGCCAGCCAGCAGACAGACAAACUGAAGGAGCUUCAUGGACAAGUGUUGUAUAGGUUGGAGCGCUAUGACGAAUGCUUAGCCGUGUAUCGGGAUCUCAUCCGGAACUCCCAAGAUGACUAUGAAGAAGAAAGGAAAACCAACCUUUCUGCAGUGGUUGCAGCACAGAGCACAUGGGAGAAAGUGGAGCCAGAAGAUCUGGGCCUCCAAGAAGCUACCUAUGAGCUGUGUUACAAUGCUGCAUGUGCAUUGAUUGGGCAAGGCAGGCUGAAUGAGGCAAUGGAAAACCUACAGAAAGCAGAAGAUCUGUGUCGCCAGUCGCUUUCAGAAGACUCUGAUGUAACUGAGGAAGACAUCGAGGCUGAGUUGGCCAUUAUUCACGGUCAGAUGGCCUAUAUCAUGCAAUUACAGGGGCGUACAGAGGAUGCUCUUCAGCUUUACAAUCAAAUCAUCAAAUUAAAGCCGACAGAUGUGGGAUUGAUUGCUGUAAUUGCAAAUAACAUCAUCACUAUUAACAAGGACCAAAAUGUCUUUGACUCAAAGAAAAAAGUGAAAUUGACCAAUGCAGACGGCGUAGAGCACAAACUCUCCAAGAAACAGCUCCAGGCCAUCGAAUUCAACAAAGCUUUACUGGCUAUGUACACCAAUCAGGCAGAUCAGUGCCGCAAGCUGUCAGCAAGUUUACAGUCUCAGAACCCUGAGCACCUGCUACCUGUGCUAAUCCAGGCUGCCCAGCUCUGUCGAGAGAAGCAGCAUGCGAAGGCAAUAGAGCUCCUACAGGACUUUGCAGAGCAGAGCCCUGCCAACUCGGCACAGAUAAAGCUGACGAUGGCACAGCUGAAAAUCGCUCAAGGCAGCGUCACCAAAGCAUGCAUCAUUCUGAGGAGUAUAGAAGAGCUGAAGCAUAAGCCAGGCAUGGUAUCUGCAUUAGUGACGAUGUACGGUCAUGAAGAAGACAUUGACAGUGCUAUUGAGGUCUUCACGCAAGCUAUCCAGUGGUACCAGGAAUACCAGCCAAAGUCUCCCGUUCAUUUGUCACUGAUAAGGGAAGCAGCCAACUUUAAGCUGAAGUACGGGAGGAAGAAGGAAGCGAUCAGCGACCUGGAAGAGCUGUGGAAGCAAAACCCAAAAGAUAUUCAUACUCUGGCCCAGCUCAUCUCCGCGUACUCUCUCGUAGAUCCUGAGAAGGCGAAGGUCCUUAGCAAACACUUGCCCUCGUCGGACACGAUGUCUUUGAAAGUAGACGUAGAUGCGCUUGAAAAUUCCCCCGGGGCUACGUAUGUUCGGAAGAAAGGCGGAAAGCUCACGGGAGAGAACCAGCAGAAAGAGCAAGGGCAAGGGGAUGUAAAGAAAAAGAAGAGGAAAAAGAAAGGAAAAUUGCCUAAGAACUACGAUCCCAAGGUGACCCCAGACCCUGAGCGGUGGCUGCCAAUGCGAGAGCGCUCCUACUAUCGUGGCAGGAAGAAGGGCAAAAAGAAGGAUCAGAUUGGAAAGGGAACCCAGGGAGCAACGACAGCUGGCACAUCUGAGCUGGAUGCCAGUAAGACAGCAAGCAGCCCGCCUACCUCCCCACGGCCUGGCAGCUCCACAGCCACGUCCUCCGCAGCCACGAGUAACAUGAUCCCCCCCCGGCACCAGAAACCUGCUGGCGCUGCAGCAACCAAGAAGAAGCAGCAGCAGAAGAAGAAGAAAGGAGGCAAAGGAGGCUGGUGACAAGAGGGGUUGCCAAGCUGGCCAUGUGAGGGACUAGACCUCUCUGCUGUAAAGUGCUGAGAACAGAAUAAAGAAAGAACUCGAAUGCAGUGUUAGAAAUCACUAUGUCUGUCACGUGUAUGGCCUCUAACUAGAACUAUGAAGACUAAAUCAUAACACGCUAAGCAACUUUCACUCUGGGCACAACAACUGUGAAUUCAACUUUUGAGUGUAUUUAUUUAGAUGUUUGCAAUCUAGUUUGGAGAACUCUACGUUCUUAAUAAUCACGGCCAAAACGGUCAAAUGUGAAGACUGGGAGUUCAGACUCCACAAUAAAACUGGACUGAUUUUUGGUGAGCAAUCCCAGAUCCUGUCGACUCCAACUAUAGAGGCAUGACCAGUGUUUUCAUCUUCCUAAUACACUCUUGGACAGUAUGUACUGAUUUGGUUCGUGCUAAGAUCUGUAGUGGCUAUAUACAGAAUAUGGCUGCUGGCGGGGGCAGGAGGGCGAGCUGUUUUCUCUCCUCUUCCAAUCACAGUUGUUCUCCUUUAACUGUAAAGCCUUUCAGAAAAUGCUGGUGUUCAUACAGUGCAGGAGUGGGGCAAUCUGAACUUAGUGUAAAUUGUAGUAGUAGAGGGUAGGUGGACAAAGUUUGGCACAAACUACAGGCUUUGUGAAAUCAGUCUUUUAGAAAAAUCUAAGACUAAAUGCACUUCUGCCAAUGAAAACAAACAUUGCUCUACAGCAUCUGCUUCCCAGACUUUAUAGCAGUGGUUCUCAACCCGUGGGCCACUUGUGGCCCAGUCAGCACACAGCUGUGGCCCAUUUGACAUCCUCAGAGCCAUACAGGUAGUAUAAUGUGUGGCUGCGGCCUGUACAACACAGAGAAAGCUGCAGAUGUGGCCCACGAUGGUAAAUAGGUUGAGAACCACUGCUUUAUGCACUACCUGGCACGAGACCUUGAAACUGACUGAACACACUAGUCUCUUUCAUCAUCCCAGUGACUAUAAAUGUGAAAAGUAAACAGCAUAACCCAGGAAAAUUAAAUUUGAUUUUUAAAAAUCUUUGUUUUAAUCCUCUUCCACUAACUUUAGCUAAUAAACAAGAUCAUGGGUUGAAAAACUAUUUUUGUUCCUUUUAAAUUCCAGUGCAUAGUGCAUCUAAAAUACCCCCAGGCUCUGAACUUCAUCAGCCUUACUUUUUAAAAAAUCUAUUUAACAUUCAGGGCCAGAUUUUCCAAAGUGCUUAGCGCCCCACAGCUCCUAUUGUCCUCAAUGGCUGCAGAGUUCUCCAUUGUUCUCAGUGAGUGCUUACAGGGACUUUCAGAAGAUGGACUCCAAAACAGCCAUCUCGUUGGGCACAAUGAACUUAAACCACCCCCUGAAAAAAUGAAUUCUUCUGUGCUUGAACUAAUCCUGUUGGAGUCAGUGAGUGUUUAUCAUGUCAUAACGAUGACGACAUCUGUGCCAGUCCUCACCCUGGGAAAGACCUGGUUGGUGCGGGGGGAGUGGGGUGAGGGUGGGGGGCUGUGUGUGUGGAUGUGAGCUGCUUUUCAAAUACCAAUUUACCAGAGCUAAUCAGAAAACAGCUUUUCCAUCCUGUCGGAAAUUGCAAUAUUUUGAUACUGAGAUGAGAUGCUGAAACCUUCAAAUAUUUAUUGAAAUGAAAUGUUCUGACCUAGAUUAUCAAAACAGGAGGUUUUCAUCGGAACCAGGAAAUCCAAGAGUGGCCAUUUUGAUUUCAGGUUUCAGCGCAGCAGGGUCGAAGGGCGGAGGUAGGAGGACCAACACGUGCAAAUAAAAUAAUUCCCAAGAGGGCCUAGGAUGCAGGAAGGGGCAGAUACUCCCUCUCAUUUGGCCAGGAGGUGGUGCUGCAGGAUUUGGGAGCAUUUUUCAGGGAUGUAGGGUAGCAAGUAAGGGACUGCCUACCAGGACUGUGGAGAAGGAAACUCCCCUGUGGGUGUGUGUGUGGGGGGAAUCUGAGUGACCUAUGGUGCCACCUCUGCAGGAGGGCACCAAGGGACCCAUUCCAGAGCUGGCAGCAACCUACUGUCCACUGUAGCAUUGGGCUGGCUCUCCGGUGCUGUACCUCCUGAUGCAGCCCCUACUUGCAGUGGGCCUGGAGCAUACCACUGGUGCCAUGUGGCUCCCUAUAGUCUGUCUGGGUCUCCUUGCUGCUCCCUGAAGCUGUGUAUUGCUGAUGUUGUCUGCACACUGCACCUAACAUCACUUGCAUGUAUUAUGCUGCAAACAUCUACAGUGCAGCAGCUAUGCUUCACUUAGUAUCUCCUGCUUCUGGGGUGCAUGGUGCUCAUUGUGGUCAUCACUAAGGCUAAGAUUAUGGCUUGGAGGUCAUGGAUUCUGUGACUUCCAGAGCCCU